CAGCCGCCGCGGUAUACGAAGGGGGCUAGCGUUGCUCGGAAUUACUGGGCGUAAAGGGAGCGUAGGCGGACAUUUAAGUCAGGGGUGAAAUCCCGGGGCUCAACCUCGGAAUUGCCUUUGAUACUGGGUGUCUUGAGUAUGAGAGAGGUAUGUGGAACUCCGAGUGCAGAGGUGAAAUUCGUAGAUAUUCGGAAGAACACCAGUGGCGAAGGCAACAUACUGGCUCAUUACUGACGCUGAGGCUCGAAAGCGUGGGGAGCAAACAGGAUUAGAUACCCGGGUAGUCCCUGUCUCUUAUACA
rnacentral:rRNA from 1 species